ensembl:lncRNA
AUUGAUCCAUGUAUUUGAUUAGUAGGUCAUUCCUCUUUUCUUUUCCCAAUCAAUCAGACCAGAAGAACCAUGUGACAUCUGCUCUGAGCGCAGAGCCAUGAAGCUUUGUCUGACCUGCUCUGUCUACUACUGUGAGAAACACAUGAGGAAGCACUUCAUAAUACAAGCACUGAGGAGACACGUCAUGGUGGAUGUCACUGAAGAAGUCGUACUACAGAGAAACACCUCGGAGAAGAAGAGAGAGGAGCAGGAGGAAGAGGGAAGGAGACAGGGACAGGAGGAGGGGCUGAGGGAAGGAGACAGGGACAGGAGGAGGGGCUGAGGUGGCAGACGAGGAAGGAGGACUUUAGGGAAGAGGAGAGGGGGCACCAGGAGGCUGUGGAACAACAGUGCAGAGAGAAGGAGAGAGAGAGAGAGGGA